rnacentral:rRNA from 1 species
AGUGAACGCUGGCGGUAGGCCUAACACAUGCAAGUCGAACGGCAGCACAGUAAGAGCUUGCUCUUACGGGUGGCGAGUGGCGGACGGGUGAGGAAUACAUCGGAAUCUACUUUUUCGUGGGGGAUAACGUAGGGAAACUUACGCUAAUACCGCAUACGACCUACGGGUGAAAGCAGGGGAUCUUCGGACCUUGCGCGAUUGAAUGAGCCGAUGUCGGAUUAGCUAGUUGGCGGGGUAAAGGCCCACCAAGGCGACGAUCCGUAGCUGGUCUGAGAGGAUGAUCAGCCACACUGGAACUGAGACACGGUCCAGACUCCUACGGGAGGCAGCAGUGGGGAAUAUUGGACAAUGGGCGCAAGCCUGAUCCAGCCAUACCGCGUGGGUGAAGAAGGCCUUCGGGUUGUAAAGCCCUUUUGUUGGGAAAGAAAAGCAGCGGGUUAAUACCCCGCUGUUCUGACGGUACCCAAAGAAUAAGCACCGGCUAACUUCGUGC